UUUUAUUUAGUUUAAAAAAAAUAUUAAAUUGCAAAUUUAAAGAUAUUUUAAUAUUAAAUUUUUUUAAAAAAUUAAUAAAAG
rnacentral:tRNA from 1 species